ACUUCUGGAAACAUAUGAUGAUUCGUUUUGGCUUUACACCCAUCUAUACUUUUGUUCUUUUCUCUCUAUGGCUCACCUCAUUUUUCUUCUGUACAUUUGGAAUCGUUCGUUUCUUGAAGCUUUCUGCUUUGUUUUCUGUAAACCCUUUGUGUUUCUCAAGUCCUUCGCCUUGUUGAUAUUAGCCCACCGAAAUUCAGAUUAAUUUUCUUUCAAUCAUCUGCAAAUUUUGAUCAAUGCAUUUGCCUGAAAUCAGGGUUUACAGCUAAUUGUGUGGCGUGAAAUCGCGCUAACAGGAGUUUCAAUUUUAUGAGGAACGUACAUUACUUUAAAUUGAAGCUUUGACGACUUUACUCUUAUAGCUUCGGUGAAUUGGGGCUAGGGUUGCAAGCUAAAGUGCUAUAUUUUCUCAUGCUCUGACUAUGAUAAAUUUUCAGACUUAUGGCCAUGGAUAGGUACUCUAUCAAUAUACAUGUAGUGAUAAGCUCUAAGAUUCUUAAAGUACUGCGACUGAGAAACCUGCAACUUCUUUCUGCAAGAUUUCAACAGAGCUUUCCUCUCCCUUACACCCUUCCCCCACUCUGCAAAAGGGAUUUUCCAAAAUCUCCAAAUCUCACCAUCAAACAAAGACUUUAUCAUACAAUUGUUCCUCUGCCCUUGAGGCAAAAGGAGACGAAUAUCACAUCUCUCUGAAGGACUAAGGUAUUUAUUCCAAGAAUCCCAUGUCAGAAUAUCUAAAAGAUCUUCAAGUUCAUGCAAUUUUUCAGGCACUGUAAUUUUUUCAGCAAUUUGAGGACUCCUUAUUCUGUAUUCAUUUUUUAUACAUCUUUUAGUAAUACCCACUUCGUUACUUUCGUCCACUAUUUCAUCUUGGUCAAUAACAUUCAACUUUUUCUAGGUUUUUCCCUUUUUAAAGCAUGAGAGAUCUGAGUUUUUAUGGAGAAUUUUCUUAGAAGCCUUCCUUUUUUGGUAAGAAAUUUUGCUAGCAAGGUGUUCGCAUGGUCGUGACUGUUUAGAUCUGUCGACCUGUUGGUUUUAAUUUUAGAUGUUCACUUAAACUAUUUUUUGUGUUUGAAAGUUAGAUUUUUGGAUUGUCCUAUUCUUCCCUACAGGAAGCUCUGCUCUGCUCAAAUGUCACCGAGGUGUCGAAAAACUCUUAAAUUCAACAAAAUAUGUUGAUCAUUUAUUUGUGUGGUGUACAUGUUUGGCAAUAGUGUUAUCUAUUGUAAUGUGUAAUGUGGAUAGCGCCAAUUCUUUUGUGGUUAUUCCUCCUUGAAAAUUGCAGAAUGAUGAACUCACCACUGCGAGACUCUUCCAGGAGAAUACUCCUUCCAUUUUUUAUAUUACCAUUCUCACCGUCAGAAGCAAAAAGCAAAUAAAGUCCAUGGCAAAGAUGGUGGAUCAAAUUUGGUGGAUUCUCUUAUUGCAAUUUGUUUGUCAGAUUCUUCUAGCUUCAAGCAUUAAUUCCCUUUAAACAUAGGAUUAUAUGAUUGCUAAUAAUCGAGAAUGAAUUUUUUUCGGCAUCUCUAUUAUAUGAUUGCUAAUAUCUCUUCUUAUAAUUUGUUAAGUAAAGUCAUGAUUUAUAGA